CAAGGGAGGUGAUGAGUGUUGGGGCAAGAGCCCAGCAUUUGGGGCUGUCGCCUUGAGCAUUAGGGUGUUGGCCGCUCAGCCAGACAUCAAGGGAUCAUCCAGCCCCUUCGCACUCCCUUCUGAGGAUGGACAGGACCUGGAGCUCAGAUAUCAGGUGGCUUCUUCAAAUGAUUUUUAAGUAUCUCGAUGAUGAUGAAGAACAAAGACAUCAAUCAGGAUUCAGGAAGACAGCUUUUGCGGAAAAUGCUUAAAGGGAAGCAUCAAGGAUUGGUGUUGAUAUUUGAAAGUUUAAGAGUGGUAUACUUUUAUUCAGUCAACACAUGACAAAUGUAAAAGGCACUCAUUUGUUGUUCCUGGAAGAAGCCUGGCAGCAUUCCAUUCAGACAUCUGCCCUUUCAUCGUCCCACUUUUUACUUAUUGCAGUCCUUUCAGUCUGAAUAUUUCCUCCUGACGCAUCUUCUGCCGUCCGAAAUGACUCCCUGCUCCCAGAUCCUGUAGCCCUUAUUAUUGACACCUUUCAUUUAGAAAUUUAGCACAUGUCACAUUACACCAUUAUUGAAUAAAUAAUGAAUAAAUAAAUAAAUAAAGAUGUAUGUCCUUCCCAAGUAUAUCAGAGAACUAUCUGGACAAUUUCUUUCUUUCCCAAUUCUCAGAAUCAGCAGUAUUCUGUCAAGAAACAUUUAUCGACGAUGAUGGCAAUAGUCGAUUAAAAUCAGAUGAAGUUUUAUUUUUAAAAAAAGGUUGAGCGGAGAGACAAGGCUGAAGGUUUGGAAGUUGAGACAACCAUCUUCAAUAAACGUUUUCUCAUCUAAGGGCUGUAUGUACAUCAUUUUGGGGAAGGUAGAGAUUGAAGGAGGAAGAACAUCACUGGAGGAAGAGACAGCAGUUUGUCUUUCGAGUUUCAAUAAAGUUUCAAAAAUCUUGCCUAAGUUAUAUAUUUUUUUGGCCUUUCCCUUUUGAUGUGACAAUAAACUGUAAUGCGGCUGUCGUUUGUACGAACCGAUAUUCAGCAGAAUAAAU
rnacentral:lncRNA from 1 species